rnacentral:rRNA from 1 species
CAUUACCGAGUGCGGGUCCCUCGUGGCCCAACCUCCCACCCGUGUUGACCGACACCUGUUGCUUCGGCGGGCCCGCCAGGGCUCCCGCCCGGCCGCCGGGGGGCCUCGUCGCCCCCGGGCCCGCGCCCGCCGAAGACCCCUCGAACGCUGCCUUGAAGGUUGCCGUCUGAGUAUAAAAUCAAUCGUUAAAACUUUCAACAACGGAUCUCUUGGUUCCGGCAUCGAUGAAGAACGCAGCGAAAUGCGAUAAGUAAUGUGAAUUGCAGAAUUCCGUGAAUCAUCGAAUCUUUGAACGCACAUUGCGCCCCCUGGCAUUCCGGGGGGCAUGCCUGUCCGAGCGUCAUUGCUAACCCUCCAGCCCGGCUGGUGUGUUGGGCCGCCGUCCCCUCCGGGGGACGGGCCCGAAAGGCAGCGGCGGCGCCGCGUCCGGUCCUCGAGCGUAUGGGGCUUUGUCACACGCUCUGGUAGGCCCGGCCGGCUUGCUGGCCAACGACCUCACGGUCACCUAACUUCUCUCUUAGGUUGACC